rnacentral:rRNA from 1 species
GAUGAACGCUGGCGGCGUGCCUAAUACAUGCAAGUCGAGCGAAUGGAUUAAGAGCUUGCUCUUAUGAAGUUAGCGGCGGACGGGUGAGUAACACGUGGGUAACCUGCCCAUAAGACUGGGAUAACUCCGGGAAACCGGGGCUAAUACCGGAUAACAUUUUGAACCGCAUGGCUCGAAAUUGAAAGGCGGCUUCGGCUGUCACUUAUGGAUGGACCCGCGUCGCAUUAGCUAGUUGGUGAGGUAACGGCUCACCAAGGCAACGAUGCGUAGCCGACCUGGGAGGGUGAUCGGCCACACUGGGACUGAAACACGGCCCAGACUCCUACGGGAGGCAGCAGUAGGGAAUCUUCCGCAAUGGACGAAAGUCUGACGGAGCAACGCCGCGUGAGUGAUGAAGGCUUUCGGGUCGUAAAACUCUGUUGUUAGGGAAGAACAAGUGCUAGUUGAAUAAGCUGGCACCUUGACGGUACCUAACCAGAAAGCCACGGCUAACUACGUGCCAGCAGCCGCCGUAA